rnacentral:rRNA from 1 species
AGAGUUUGAUCCUGGCUCAGAUUGAACGCUGGCGGCAUGCUUUACACAUGCAAGUCGAACGGCAGCACGGGGGCAACCCUGGUGGCGAGUGGCGAACGGGUGAGUAAUGCAUCGGAACGUAUCCUUGAGUGGGGGAUAACGCAGCGAAAGUUGUGCUAAUACCGCAUAAGCUCUGAGGAGGAAAGCGGGGGAUCUUCGGACCUCGCGCUAAGAGAAGAGCCUACGUCUGAUUAGCUAGUUGGUAGGGUAAAGGCCUACCAAGGCGACGAUCAGUAGCUGGUCUGAGAGGACGACCAGCCACACUGGGACUGAGACACGGCCCAGACUCCUACGGGAGGCGAC